rnacentral:rRNA from 1 species
GACGAACGUUGGCGGCGUGCUUAAUACAUGCAAGUCAACUGAAGCAGUGGUAGCAAUAUCGCUGUGGAGGUGGCGCACGGGUGAGUAACACGUAGGUAAUCUGCCUUCAGGUCUGGCAUAACUCCGGGAAACCGGGGCUAAUAGCAGAUGAUGCAGCGGCUCGACAUCGAGACAGUUGUUAAAGCUAUGGCGCCUGAAGAUGAGCCUGCGUCUGAUUAGCUAGUUGGCGGGGUAACGGCCCACCAAGGCAACGAUCAGUAGCUGGUCUGAGAGGAUGAUCAGCCACACUGGAACUGAGACACGGUCCAGACUCCGACGGGAGGCAGCAGUAAGGAAUAUUGCUCAAUGGGAGAAAUCCUGAAGCAGCAACGCCGCGUGAGGGACGAAGGGCGUUUGAUUGUAAACCUCUGUAGUGAGAGAAAAAAAUCCCAAUCUUUGGGACAUGAUGGUAUCUCAAAAGUAAGCCCCGGCUAACUACGUG